rnacentral:rRNA from 1 species
GAAUGUGAUCCAGGCAAGAUCCUAAAGGCACCAGAUCCCUUCUGAUCUUGGAAGCUAAGCAGGGUCGGCAUCGGUUAGGACUUCGAUGGGAGACCGUCAAAGAAAACCGGACACUAUAGGCU